UACGUAGGGGGCUAGCGUUGUCCGGAAUCAUUGGGCGUAAAGGGUGCGUAGGCGGCGCGGUAAGUCGGGUGUGAAAUCUCGGAGCUUAACUCCGAAACUGCAUUCGAUACUGCCGUGCUUGAGGACUGGAGAGGAGACUGGAAUUUACGGUGUAGCGGUGAAAUUCGUAGAUAUUCGGAAGAACACCAGUGGCGAAGGCGGCUCACUGGCCCGGUACUGACGCUGAGGUGCGAAAGCGUGGGGAGCAAACAGG
rnacentral:rRNA from 1 species